rnacentral:rRNA from 1 species
GGACAGUUUGACUGGGGCGGUCGCCUCCUAAAAGGUAACGGAGGCGCCCAAAGGUUCCCUCAGAAUGGUUGGAAAUCAUUCGUAGAGUGUAAAGGCACAAGGGAGCUUGACUGCGAGACCUACAAGGCGAGCAGGGUCGAAAGACGGGCUUAGUGAUCCGGUGGUUCCGCAUGGAAGGGCCAUCGCUCAACGGAUAAAAGCUACCCCGGGGAUAACAGGCUUAUCUCCCCCAAGAGUCCACAUCGACGGGGAGGUUUGGCACCUCGAUGUCGGCUCAUCGCAUCCUGGGGCUGUAGUCGGUCCCAAGGGUUGGGCUGUUCG